AAUUUGAUGAGAACUUCCAGGCAACAGGCCACCUUCAGUCCCAUUUAUCUUGGGUGGUAGUACAUGGGUCAGACCAAACCCCAGUUGUGCCCUCUGUUUUUAGCAAGGAUGAGCUGUUAAAAGACGAUGACCCUCCAUCAUGCUG